GCACCCCGCGUUCCCCGCCAAUCCAUCACCCGCACCAGCCACCGCCCAAACCCUAGCCCCCUUUCCCCUCGAUCCCCACAACCUCUCCCGCCUCUAUCCCUCCUCCUCGCGUCACCACGGCCUCCGCCCCGGAGCCUCGCCGCCGCCUGAUAAUACUCCUCCACCAUGCUAGCCCCUCCACCUCACCUUCCUUCUUUUUGUUAUCUGCGCCCGUCAUCGAUGCCUGGUUCUAGAUCGGGCGCGGGUUAGACGAGGUCGAUGGUGGGGUGAAUGGGCAGGGGAGGCGGGGGACGAGGGCAGGCAACAGUCGGCCCGUCGCGAUGUGGUGAAGCUACAGGGAAGAGGGAGGAGGUCGGCGACAGGGUGAAGGAGCAAGCCGGCCCUCAUGGAGGCAGCGCUACCAGCCAGCUAGGGAGGCGGUCCGGCUCGCCUCUGCUAUGCCGUGAGCGGCGGCGCUACCUCUGCCUCCAGCCUCACCUCCUCUGCCAACCAUGGGAAAAAUUUGGGGAGACCCAAGGUGAGCUUCCCCUCCGUUGCAUGACCCAAGGUGAGCUUCCCCUCUGUUGCAUGCACUCCUGAUCUCUAAAGAUUUCUGUAGCCUAAAUGCCUAUGUACCAUGUAAGCAAGCCCAACGUAAUGCACACCAUCAGCCUGAUGAAUGACCAAAUGGUUUGUUUUUGUUGCCAUAUAGACCAUUGACGGGUGUGCAGGAGCCCUUCUAAUUGGUACUCUAUGUGUGUUUUCUUUUCUUUUGUUGCAGAAUAAUAAUUCAAGUGGAUGGCCAAUGCGCCUUGUUGUUUAGCGGUAUGAUGGUCGGUGAAAGUAUGUUCUAUAUAUAUUGCAAGGAUCAUAAGAUGCUUUUACACAUGAUUGUGUGAUGCUCAGAGACAUUUUGCACAGAACUUCUUGUGAAGCUUGAUUUUAUUCAGAGCCAUAUGAUUUUUUAUAGAAACAUGAGCAGAGUAAAAUGGACACAGCUUCUGGUACAUCUGAGCACCGACGACCACAAUGGGAUGGAUCAAGCAGCCAAGACUCAGAGUGUGGUCGACAGUGCGACUCUUCCAGCACUGAAGUUAUGUCUUUUGGGCCAAUUUCAAUUGCCUCACUACCUGUACACAUGGAUCCUGUAGGUAUUUCCUAAUGUAAGUGUCACUGUUUUUCUUCUUUAUGUACCUGGACGGGAGUGCUCAUGAGGAUGACGACAUGCUACUGAACUCAAAUUCAAAAAUGAAGUUGGGGGCCUGGGGUUUGGAGCCCCUCAGUAGAAGUGCUCAGGCGGCAUGUCACAGUUGUUUGCUGAUAAUUUACCAAGAACAAAUUUUGCUUGUCUCUAGCAUUAGGCUAUGAGCCCUAAAGCAGUUCCAGUGUGAUGAUCUACCUCUUGACUAGGAAGGGGGGAUUGAAAGAUAGCACUUGUCGUUUGAAGCAAUUAGUAUUGGACUAUUUGAGGAAGUAAAUGUUUAAACCACUAAACCUUAUAUUCUUUUGUAAAAAGGAGGGUGCAGAUAAAUAAGAGUUGUUGGCAGCAGCAACCUACACAUGUGGAAACAGUGGCUAUGGCGGCUCAAAGGGAAGUUGUGGCCGCUAGACAGCAACUCACAACUUAGUGGUAGCUCAAAGUACAUAUAAUCUAUUUCUUCUUGGAGCUAUCUACUAUAAUAUUAUGACUCGGUGCUAGCUGAAGCUUCUAUUUUCUCGCCUUUUGUGGUGGUGAUGAUUCCUUCAACUGCAGUAGUUUUUCUACGUGCCAUUGCUAUUCCUCUCGUUGCAACCUUUUCCCAUAGAAUCAGAAUUAGAUUGAAGAAAUUGCAGGAGGAAGGGUAUUCCUGGUGUGACAUUCAAAAGCAGUCAAAACGGUGAGGUUUAGAACGGAGGAGCUCCGUGGAAUUGUGGAUAAAAAAUUAUCCAUAACAUGUCUGUCAUUGCUCAUGUCGACCACGGUAUGUGACCGAGCAGUGACAGUUGUCUCUAAUUAUCAAUCUUAUAUAGAGUCUUCUUGAUUGAUGAUUUUGUAGCCUUCUCUUAGCUGUACCAUAUUAAUUCUUAAAACUGGAUCAUUUAAAAUUAGUUAGAUUUAAUGAUUUGUUCCACUGUUUUCAAAUAAGUAGUUUAAGCCCUUAUUGUGUUCUGGAGCUUAUUCUUUCUACCUUUUUAUGAUUGAUUUAUGCUCUCACAAGCUUAAAUGUAACUAUUGACAUAUAAUCUCAUGGCUCAAAGUCUUAAUUGUUGAAUGUAUUAAAAUUUAUAAGACCUGGAGUUUGCACUAUAAUUUCAUCCAGCGGUAUUCCCAGUAACUGAAUGUUAAGAGCACUGACGAUCCCAGGUUGUACAUUCAGGUACUGGGAAAUGCUUUUAUCUUGCAGGCCAGUUUUACAUUUAUUUUUCAGUAACGAGAUGACCAUGAACAGGGUAUCAAGGUAUUUGCCUUGGCAUUACUAACGUCGUGUUCAGAUUACUAAAAGAAGGAUUGAUAACGGCAUACCUUAACUCGACUGAUGCUUUAACUGCUGCCUCUCUAAGCCUUGAUUAGCCAUGGAGAUACUCAAGUUCCAAAGCCCCAAGUGAGGCUAUCCUUCUAAGAUCCGUUCAUCCCAGUUCAUUAAUUUGUUUGAAAUAUAUAUGUAUAUUCCAAUAUUGCUCAAUCUCCAGCUGGCCUCUAGGUUAUCAGAUGAAAUCCGGUUAAAUUUUAGGGAGGUUGACUAGGAGUGUUUCAAACUAAAGGCUUUGUUGUUGUUGUUUGAGUAGGAGUAUCCCCCUUUUCUGUAUAAAUUUUGUUGCUAUGAAUAGUUGCAUUGUUACGUCAGUGAAAAGUUCCUGGGCAUAGUAUGUGUUCCUCUAGACUUGGUUGAAAGUAUUCCUUCUGUUA